AACAUUGUUGGUCAGUGGGCUGUCACAACAAGUGUAGAUUAUUCAUUGGCUCAGUUAGUUCAGGUAAUAAUUCUUCUUAGCACUGGUGGAUUAAAUGGUGGCGGAUAUCAGGCCUCCAAAUAUGUGGUUAUCGCCCUUCACGCUGGAAUUCUGCUUUUACAUGCUUUAUUAAACAGUCUUCCGAUUUCAUGGCUGUCCUUCAUUGGACAACUAGCCGCUGCAUGGAAUGUUUUAGGUGUCUUUCUUCUUAUGAUUUUGAUCCCAAUGGUUGCAACAGAAAGAGCUAGCGCUAAAUUUGUGUUUACUAACUUCAACACUGUCAAUGAGGAUGGAAUCAACAAUAAACUCUACAUCUUCGUCCUUGGACUUCUCAUGAGCCAGUAUACAUUGA
rnacentral:misc_RNA from 1 species